rnacentral:rRNA from 1 species
CCUACGGGAGGCAGCAGUGGGGGAUAUUGGACAAUGGGGGGAACCCUGAUCCAGCGACGCCGCGUGAGUGAAGAAGUAUCUCGGUAUGUAAAGCUCUAUCAGCAGGGAAGAAGAAAUGACGGUACCUGAGUAAGAAGCCCCGGCUAACUACGUGCCAGCAGCCGCGGUAAUACGUAGGGGGCAAGCGUUAUCCGGAAUUACUGGGGGUAAAGGGAGCGUAGACGGUGAUGUAAGUCUGGAGUGAAAGGCGGGGGCCCAACCCCCGGACUGCUCUGGAAACUAUGUGACUGGAGUGCAGGAGAGGUGAGCGGAAUUCCUAGUGUAGCGGUGAAAUGCGUAGAUAUUAGGAGGAACACCAGUGGCGAAGGCGGCUAACUGGACUGUAACUGACGUUGAGGCUCGAAAGCGUGGGGAGCAAACAGGAUUAGAUACCCGUGUAGUC